rnacentral:tRNA from 1 species
CGUUAAGAAGCUAUGAGUACAGCAACAGCCUUUUAAUCUGUAGAUAGGUGAUUUCAACCACCCUUAACGU